GACGAACGCUGGCGGCGUGCUUAACACAUGCAAGUCGAACGGAAAGGCCCUGCUUUUGUGGGGUGCUCGAGUGGCGAACGGGUGAGUAACACGUGAGUAACCUGCCCUUGACUUUGGGAUAACUUCAGGCAACUGGGGCUAAUACCGGAUAGGAGCUCCUGCUGCAUGGUGGGGGUUGGAAAGUUUCGGCGGUUGGGGAUGGACUGGCGGCUUAUCAGCUUGUUGGUGGGGUAGUGGCUUACCAAGGCUUUGACGGGUAGCCGGCCUGAGAGGGUGACCGGGCACAUUGGGACUAAGAUACGGCCCAGACUCCUACAGGAGGCAGCAGUGGGGAAUAUUGCACAAUGGGCGGAAGCCUGAUGCGACAACGCCGGGUGCGGGAAGACGGCCUACGGGGUGGAAACCGCUGUCGCCUGUGACGAAGCGGGAGUGACGGUAAUGGGUAAAGAAGCACCGGCUAACUACGUG
rnacentral:rRNA from 1 species